rnacentral:rRNA from 1 species
AAUUAUCCGUGAAACUGCGAAUGGCUCAUUAAAUCAGUUAUCGUUUAUUUGAUAGUACCUUACUACUUGGAUAACCGUGGUAAUUCUAGAGCUAAUACAUGCUAAAAACCCCAACUUCGGGAGGGGUGUAUUUAUUAGAUAAAAAACCAAUGCCCUUCGGGGCUCCUUGGUGAUUCAUGAUAACUUCUCAGAUCGCAUGGCUUUACGCCGGCGACGGUUCAUUCAAAUUUCUGCCCUAUCAACUUUCGAUGGUAAGGUAUUGGCUUACCAUGGUUUCAACGGGUAACGGGGAAUUAGGGUUCGAUUCCGGAGAGGGAGCCUGAGAAACGGCUACCACAUCCAAGGAAGGCAGCAGGCGCGCAAAUUACCCAAUUCCGAUACGGAGAGGUAGUGACAAUAAAUACUGAUACAGGGCUCUUUUGGGUCUUGUAAUUGGAAUGAGUACAAUUUAAACCUCUUAACGAGGAACAAUUGGAGGGCAAGUCUGGUGCCAGCAGCCGCGGUAAUUCCAGCUCCAAUAGCGUAUAUUAAAGUUGUUGCAGUUAAAAAGCUCGUAGUUGAACCUUUGGCCUGGCUGGCAGGUCCGCCUCACCGCGUGCACUUGUCCGGCCGGGCCUUUUCUUCUGGAGAACCGCAUGCCCUUCACUGGGUGUGUUGGGGACCAGGACUUUUACUUUGAAAAAAUUAGAGUGUUCAAAGCAGGCCUUUGCUCGAAUACGUUAGCAUGGAAUAAUAGAAUAGGACGUGCGGUCCUAUUUUGUUGGUUUCUAGGACCGCCGUAAUGAUUAAUAGGGACAGUCGGGGGCAUCAGUAUUCAAUUGUCAGAGGUGAAAUUCUUGGAUUUAUUGAAGACUAACUACUGCGAAAGCAUUUGCCAAGGAUGUUUUCAUUAAUCAGUGAACGAAAGUUAGGGGAUCGAAGACGAUCAGAUACCGUCGUAGUCUUAACCAUAAACUAUGCCGACUAGGGAUCGGGCGGUGUUUCUAUUGUGACCCGCUCGGCACCUUACGAGAAAUCAAAGUGUUU